rnacentral:misc_RNA from 1 species
GAUGAAGAACGUAGCGAAAUGCGAUAAGUAAUGCGAAUUGCAGAAUUUCCGUGAGUCAUCGAAUCUUUGAACGCACAUUGCGCCCACUGGUAUUCUGGCGGGCAUGCCUGUCUGAGCGUCAUUUCAACCCUCAUGCCUCUAGGGCGUGGUGUUGGGGAUCGGCCAAAGCCCGCGAGGGACGGCCGGCCCCUAAAUCUAGUGGCGGACCCGUCGUGGCCUCCUCUGCGAAGUAGUGAUAUUCCGCAUCGGAGAGCGAUGAGCCCCUGCCGUUAAACCCCCAACUUUCCAAGGUUGACCUCAGAUCAGGUAGGAAUACCCGCUGAACUUAAGCAUAUCAAUAAGCGGAGGA